rnacentral:rRNA from 1 species
UACGUAGGGGGCGAGCGUUAUCCGGAUUUACUGGGCGUAAAGCGCGUUAAGGCGGUUGGCAAAGUUGGUUGUGAAAUCUCAGGGCUCAACCCUGAAAUUGCGACCAAUACUGGUCGACUAGAGUGUGAGAGAGGAAGGUGGAAUUCCCGGUGUAGUAGUGAAAUGCGUAGAUAUCGGGAGGAACACCAGUGGCGAAGGCGGCAUCCUGGACCGGUAUUGACGCUGAGGAGCGAAAGCCAGGGGAGCAAAGCGGGG